GUGAGCGUGCGCUUCUUGGCCAUGUGAUGAUCCACGUCAAUUAAUGAGGUAUCAUCAGACGGUCCGCGCUUUUCCAUCAUUUCUAAUUUCUGAUUUUAAUUUCUUUUAUUUCUUUUAAUUCCAUUUCUUUUUAAAAAUUCAUAUCUCCUUCAUUAUUGGUCCAAAAAAUAUGAGACCAAUUUCAUUUUUCUCCUUUUAAUUUCUAGUUUCUAGAAAUGAUUUUUAAUAUUUUUUAUUU
rnacentral:lncRNA from 1 species